AGCGAACGCUGGCGGCAGGCUUAACACAUGCAAGUCGAACGCCCGGGCAACCGGGAGUGGCAGACGGGAGAGUAACACGUGGGAACGUACCCUUCGGUUCGGAAUAACCCAGGGAAACUUGGGCUAAUACCGGAUACGUCCGUAAGGAGAAAGAUUCAUCGCCGAGGGAUCGGCCCGCGUCCGAUUAGCUAGUUGGUGAGGUAAUGGCUCACCAAGGCGACGAUCGGUAGCUGGUCUGAGAGGANGAUCAGCCUCACUGGGACUGAGACACGGCCCAGACUCCUACGGGAGGCAGCAGUGGGGAAUAUUGGACAAUGGGCGAAAGCCUGAUCCAGCCAUGCCGCGUGGGUGAUGAAGGCCUUAGGGUUGUAAAGCCCUUUCGGCGGGGAAGAUAAUGACGGUACCCGCAGAAGAAGCCCCGGCUAACUUCG
rnacentral:rRNA from 1 species